rnacentral:misc_RNA from 1 species
UCUCCGUUGGUGAACCAGCGGAGGGAUCAUUACAGAGUUGCAAAACUCCCAAACCAUUGUGAACGUUACCUAUCCCGUUGCUUCGGCGGGCGGCCCGCGCCCCGCCCCCGGCCCCCCCCGGCCCCCCGGGGGCCCCCCACACACGUAAACCAAACCCGUGAAUUUCAUUGCCCCGCUGUGUCUUCUUUAAUAAAUAAAUCAAAACUUUCAACAACUCAGGUCUUGGUUCUGGCAUCGGUGGAGAACGCAGCAAAACGGAAGAACACCCGUCUGAAUACC